AACGAACGCUGGCGGCAUGCCUAACACAUGCAAGUCGAACGAGACCUUCGGGUCUAGUGGCGCACGGGUGCGUAACGCGUGGGAACCUGCCCUUAAGUUCGGAAUAACUCCCCGAAAGGGGUGCUAAUACCGGAUAAUGUCUUCGGACCAAAGAUUUAUCGCCUUUGGAUGGGCCCGCGUUGGAUUAGCUAGUUGGUAGGGUAAAAGCCUACCAAGGCGACGAUGCAUAGCUGGUCUGAGAGGAUGAUCAGCCAGACUGGGACUGAGACACGGCCCAGACUCCUACGGGAGGCAGCAGUGGGGAAUAUUGUACAAUGGGCGAAAGCCUGAUCCAGCAAUGCCGCGUGAGUGAUGAAGGCCUUAGGGUUGUAAAGCUCUUUUACCCGGGAUGAUAAUGACAGUACCGGGAGAAUAAGCACCGGCUAACUCCGUG
rnacentral:rRNA from 1 species